rnacentral:lncRNA from 1 species
UGUAAGAUGCAAAGAGGUUGGAUCAAGUUUAAAUGACUGUGCUGCCCCUUUCACAUCAAAGAACUACUGACAACGAAGGCCGCGACUGCCUCUCCCAUCUGUCUAUCUGGCUGGCAGGGAAGGAAAGAACUUGCAUGUUGGUGAAGGAAGAAGUGGGGUGGGACAACAGUGAAAUCUAAAGUAAAACCAAGCUGGCCCAAGGUGUCCUGCAGGCUGUAAUGCAGUUUAAUCAGAGUGCCAUUUUUUUCUUGUUGUUCAAAUGAUUUUAAUUAUUGG